rnacentral:rRNA from 1 species
CCUACGGGUGGCUGCAGUGGGGAAUAUUGGACAAUGGGCGAAAGCCUGAUCCAGCCAUGCCGCGUGUGUGAAGAAGGCCUUCGGGUUGUAAAGCACUUUCAGUGGGGAAGAAAGCCUUGGGGCUAAUACCCUCGAGGAAGGACAUCACCCACAGAAGAAGCACCGGCUAACUCCGUGCCAGCAGCCGCGGUAAUACGGAGGGUGCGAGCGUGAAUCGGAAUUACCGGGCGUAAAGCGCGCGUAGGCGGUCUGAUAAGCCGGUUGUGAAAGCCCCGGGCUCAACCUGGGAACGGCAUCCGGAACUGUCAGGCUAGAGUGCAGGAGAGGAAGGUAGAAUUCCCGGUGUAGCGGUGAAAUGCGUAGAGAUCGGGAGGAAUACCAGUGGCGAAGGCGGCCUUCUGGACUGACACUGACGCUGAGGUGCGAAAGCGUGGGUAGCAAACAGGAUUAGAUACCCGAGUAGUC